AAUCAACGCUGGCGGCGUGCCUCAGACAUGCAAGUCGAACGAUUAAAGCUCUCUUCGGAGAGUGUAUAGAGUGGCGCACGGGUGAGUAACACGUAAGUAAUCUACCCUCGAGUGGGGAAUAACAACCGGAAACGGUUGCUAAUACCGCAUAAUGCAGCGGCACCGCAAGGUGACAGUUGUUAAAGAUUUAUCGCUUGAGGAGGAGCUUGCGGCAGAUUAGCUAGUUGGUAGGGUAACGGCUUACCAAGGCUACGAUCUGUAACCGGUCUAAGAGGACGGUCGGUCACACUGACACUGAAUAACGGGUCAGACUCCUACGGGAGGCAGCAG
rnacentral:rRNA from 1 species